CUUCAGGACGGACGAGGACGCGCAGCUCGGUUCUGAUGCGGAAACAACCGAGAAGGAGGAAGCGCACGACUGCACACCUGCGGAGACCUGCGGGUGGUGAGAGCAGGAGGCAGCUCUUCAGUGGCCGACCUGCCGCCGCCUGCUGUCCACUAGAGAGCGCUGCUCCAUCAGGUCAGACCUCCACCUUCUAGCUGCAUCUCUAGUCUGCAUCCUUGUAGCCUCCAGCCUUCAGCAGCCUUCGUAGACCUGAGCUGUUCCUCCAACAACCACACAGGCUGAACCAGAAGGUCUCUGACAUGGGACGGUCUGUCCUACGGAGGACAGCUUUACCUUCACUGCUCCUGUUGCCUAGCAACCUGCUGGCCCGAAAAACGUAUAAAGUACAGAUAAGGAAGAUAAACUUCUUAGUUCAUUUAAUUUAGGGAGAUACGCUCCUCUUCUGGAGCGUGAUAUAUUUCAGGCUGAGGGAAGAACGUUACUCACUUAGUGAUAUUUGUGAGCUCACUUUGAUCGAUUUCUGUUCAUAAUAUGAAGUAUAAACUUAAUAUAAAACAACUCAGGAAGAUAUUAGUCAGCCUCUAAAGUGUGAAACUUAAGGCAUUAAAGUGACUUUUCACUAAUAACUACAGACGAACUGCUCGUUGUGUGUUUGUUUAAAUGUGUGUUGGUACAUUGAUGUUCAUAAGAACAUGGACCCAGGAGGGUUCAGGUUCAUAGAUUUCAUAAACUAAGAUGUGAUAUGUUAUAUAUUAUAUUUAGGGCCGGGACUUUAGCGCGUUAAUUACAAUAAUUAAUUACAAUGUGAAUUAAGAUUAAUUAAUUACACAAAAAAUAACACAGACAUUUUUUCCGCAUUUUUACACUUAUUUUUUGCACCGCGGAACGUUUCUCACUGGAUGAGUUUCGGAGGACCGAUUAUACUGGAGCACCAACUAGCGUUCAUGACUUCAGACAACAACAAACCACAGUGAACAUGAACGAAGAAGCUGACGAGACCGUGUCGGGUGGCCCCGUGAAUGGGAAAUCUUAUUGUAAUAAACACAGGGAUGAAAGCGUCGAUAAGAGCGUGGUUGUGUGCAAGCUGUGCAACAAGGAAUUCACAUCGAGCCUCAAGUAUCACCUCAACGCAAAACAAUUAGCAGCUAGCGUGGACGUUAGCCCGACGAGUACAAGGACCCACACCCAACCCACACUGCACCAGAUGACUGGUUUAAGGACCAGGGUAACUAAGUCCACGUCUGAAAAAAUAACCAAUGUUCUGAAUGUACUUGAAAGUAUUGGUCUACUUAAAAAAACAUAGUUUACAGAAGGUCUACUUACCUAUAGGCUACCUGAAUUUCUGAAAGUACUAUAUUUCUAAAUAUGCUAUUGCUACACCUGUCUGCUGGAAUUGGUUGAACAAAAAUAAAAAUCCAUGUGAAAAAAAUUACUUCUCACUGUUCUCAGGUCAAAUAUUUAUGCAAUUAAAAUGCGAUUCAUUUCGAUUAAUUAAUUACAAAGGCUCUAAUUAAUUAGAUUAAUAUUUUUAAUCGAGUCCCGGCCCUAAUUAUAUUAUAACAUUCCUAUCGGUAGAUAUUCGAGUGAAUUCUAUUACGUUACAUUUAAAAGUAAACUUGGCCCGCACUGCAUGCUGGGAUAUGCUGGGCCGUUAAGGAUAGAUCUGAUUACAUCACAUGUCAUUUAGCUGAUUUUAUCCGAAGUGACUUACAUUGCAUUAUAACCCAUGUGUUCUUGCCUGGGGAGCAGUUAGGGGUCAGGUGUCUGGCUCAGGGACACUUUGACGUGGCACAUGGAGCAGCUGGGAUUCAAACCAUCAACCUUCCAGCUUCCAGCACAUCACAGUACUUCAUGCGCCACAAUCACAUCUGAGUGUCCUUCACAUCCCUCCAUGGGGUCAUCCUCAGCUCACUGGAUGAAGCUCUGGUUUUCAGCUGAAGGACUGCUGGUCCCCUUUGAUCCAUCACUUUAUACGUUAUAUCUUGUAUACUCCCCACAUUAUAAAUAAUAUUAAAUAACAAUAAGAAACGUGACCCAUCCAUUCAUUAGAGAAAUAAGUAACUUUUUUUUUUCCAAGUACAUUUUGCAUGUUGCAGGGUUUGAAUUCAAAUUCAGUUCAAAUAUGUCUACUGAUGAUAUAAAAGGAUACAAUAAAAUAAAAUGAAUGCUGUUAAACCAGUGUUUUGAAUGAAUUAAUAAAAAAUUCUGAUUGGUAUUCAGAAGGAAAGUUUUCAGUGUUGGAGGGUUAAAUGAAAAUAACACAGCGAUCAGCUUGUAAAACUCAUUUUAAAACAAACACAAAACAAGUAUGUCUUGUUUCCACUUUCUGAACAAACCAUAUUAAAAAAAGAUGUAUUUUAAGACACAAACAUUGAAAAGUUUCAUCCAGUGAACUUUGUUUCUUUGAGCCGCUGGAAAAAACAGAUAAAAAUACCUACAACGGUACCCAUGCAUAUUAGUGAGCACGCACGCACACACACACACACACACACACACACACACACACACACACACAAACACACUCAGUUGAGCAACAUGCCUG